rnacentral:lncRNA from 1 species
CCGCAGUGAGCCGUUUGCAAGUUUAACGGUGUAGAAAUAUCCAAAUCAUGUGAAAUUUUGAUAGAAAAUUCUUUAUACUAUAUAAAAUAAGAUCAAUAUCUUUGAUCUAAAAUUUUAAUGUCAUAUUAUCACGUUUUGUAAGAUUUUUAUUUUCAGCCGUUGAUUUUGAACCCCUUCGUUCAAUAGGCAAAUAAUAUCAAAAAAUCCCAUAAUUUAUUUUCUAGAUACUUCAAAUACUCUAGAUCAAGUUUAACAGAGCCGAUCGACGAUUCGAAAGUUGCAACAAGAAAAACGGCCUGGAAGCACGGAAGGCUUCAUACUUCCAGAAGCAUAGUAGCCUCACUCAUAUAUAUAUAUAUAGAGCUAGGCUGGUAUACUAUCGGUAGCACGGAAGCCUCCGUGCUACCAAGUUGUUUUCAAUGAUGCGGCUUCCAAAUCGACGAUCGGCUCCAUUAGACUUGAUCUACACUAUUAAAAGUACUUGGAACUCAAUUUCAUAAUUUUUCGGUAUCAUUUACAUAUCAAACGAAUAGUCUAAAAAUGAACGGCUGAAAAUAAAAAUCUCAUAAAAAAUGAUGAUAGAAGACUUGAAUGUAAGAUCAGAGGUACUGAUCUUACUCUAAAUAGUAAAAAGAAUUUUCUAUAAAAAUUUCAUCUGAUUUGGAUUGUUUUACACCGUUAAAUUCACAAACGCAUCACAUCUACCAUUAAAAUUGUUAAUUUUGAGACCUUUUAAUCACUAGCCAAAUGAUGUCGAAAAAUUAUGAAAUUUAAUUUCCAAAUACUUUUAAUAGUGUAGACCAAGUCUAAAGGAGCCGAUCGUCGAUUCAGAAGCUGAAUCAUC